AAAUGACUCAGAAGUACCUCAACUGGGUGUUGACCAAGUUAACACUGGGGAACAAAAAAGGUGGUUCAGAUAGGCAAGUUAGUCUACAACUAGGAGCCGGGCCAUUAACACCAGUCCAAGCACACUUUGCAUAAACAAGGCCAUACUAGAAGCCGAGCAUCCAGCCCCAGGCAAGCCUUUGGAUGACUGCAGUUCUAGCUGAUGUCUGUGUGCUGCGAUUUUUCUGACACACCUUGAUCUACAACCACCCUCGCGUUUCAAGUGCUUGAAGCUGUUGACAUCACAAACACCACAAUUCCAUCUUUCCACCUUCAACAUCCCAGUGGUGAAAAGUGAACCCUCCCUGAUGCCCAAGAUGCUGAAAUGAGUUCCACUUCGUGCCCUCAGCUCAGACCUAAAGAAACAAGAAGAUUAUCUGCCACAGCUGGGAUGGAGAAGAGAGCUCACAUCUUUCACUCGCCCGUUUUCUGAGCACUGCUACAUUCUGAAUGUGAUGCCUGGGGGCCUUCCAGCUAACUGGAUGUGUAAAUAAAAGAGUUUUAUAUCACUUCAAGGUGUCAUUCAAAUUUUCAUCCUAGCUAACAGGGAAGAAAUUCACCAAAUCCACCCUGGGGCCAUUUUCCCAUCUCUUUUCCUGCUGACACUCAUGUAAUGUGCUAGACAAAG